GUACAUGUAAUGGGUCGCAUUCACAGUGCCUGGAACAUAACAAAUGCUCGUAAAGGAACAGAUUGCUCAAAAACCAAACGACUGUUGCGUGAAAUGCGAGUGGGGAAAGGAGUGAGAUGAAGGGAACAGAGCCCUUCCAAACUCGCCCUUCAGCCUUCCCACCC
rnacentral:lncRNA from 1 species